CCUUACAGGAAGUGGCCUGUCUGACCAUUUCUUGCCCUCCUUGAUCAUCUCUAACAAAUACAGGGGAUCUCUGGCAUGACGUGACACUUCCUACGGCUCCCAUGGGCUCUCAGAAGGCGGGAAAAAGCUGAACGAUGUAAUUCCAUCCCCAGGCUGAAACACAUUAGCGCGUUUGGCAAGUGCUCUAUCAGAGGGCCAUUAGACUGAGGCUCGUGCAUGAGGGGAUAGCAUGCUUUUACUUUCACUCUCUUUGUAAUAAAAAACGAUUUCCUGGUCAGAAUAUUAUCGCUUUUUUACGAGAAAAAUGGCAUAAAAAUAGAUUUUAAACAGCGGUUGACAUGCUUCGAAGAACGGUAAUGGAAUAUUUAGAAUUUUUUUGUCACGAAAUGCGCCAUGCUCGUCACCCUUCUUUACCCUUCGGAUAGUGUCUUGAACGCACGAACAAAACGCCGCUAUUUGGAUAUAACAAUGGAUUAUUUGGGACCAAACCAACAUUUGUUAUUGAAGUAGAAGUCCUGGGAGUGCAUUCUGACGAAGAACAGCAAAGAAGGACCUGAGCCCCAGGACCAUGUCUCAGGACUAUCUGGCUUGAUGACUCCUUGCUGUGCCCAGUCUACCUGCUCAUACUGCUGCUCCAGUUUCAACUGUUCUGCCUGCAGCUAUGGAACCCUGACCUGUUCACCAGACAUGCUACCUUGUCCCAGACCUGCUGUUUUGGACUCUCUCUCUACCGCACCUGCUCUGAAUGCUUUGCUAUGAAAAGCCAACUGACAUUUACUCCUGAGCGCAUCUGCCAAACUCUAGCUAGGCCUAUUUAGCUGUUGUCUCUGUAGUUUCCAUGGUGACUCCAGGUUCUCUCCACACCUUAUUCACAUGGUCUAUAAAUAUGCAGUGUGUUUACUGUGUGUGUUUACUGUUGAGGAAAAGCAUCUCCUUUAGUUUUGGGGAUUCCCUGUUUAUCUGAGUCUGUCACUGUGUUUUUACCUUCUUUCUGGGGCUUCCCUCAAUGUCUG
rnacentral:lncRNA from 1 species